rnacentral:lncRNA from 1 species
UUAAAAUAGAUGUGUGAUGAAACUAGAAAUGAUAAAAUGAGACUUGAAUAUACUACAGGAGCUAUACGAGUUGCACAAAUUAAGCAUAACAUGAUGAAAAAUUGAUUGAGAUUGUAUGAAUAUGUACAAUGGAGACGUAAGAAGGCUCUAGUAAGGAGAGGCGCAUUGAUUUGCAUUGAAGGCGAUGAGAAGAGGAGAGG